AAUCACUUGUCGGAGUGCCAUUUGGCUGAGAUCGCAUAAUUAAGUGCGGGAUCCGCAGAACCUGAUCGGGCUAAUACCCGCGUAGGAAACAAGAAAGUCACCAUU
rnacentral:ncRNA from 1 species